GUGAACCUGCGGAAGGAUCAUUGUCG
rnacentral:rRNA from 2 species